AUUGGAGAUGUCACAAACUGGGAUGUGAACCAAUACCCAAGGUUCACUCUGCAUCGCUAUUACAUAUACCAAAGAAAGUAUAGCUCUUUUUUGGAGAUGAUAGUUAGUGCAUCCCUACGACCUAAAGAAGGCUAAGCCAAAGCUGGUGAAUGUAUUUCAUGCAUGGGUAACGCAAAUAUAGAUCUUUAUUCUUGCCAGGGUCAUAUGC
rnacentral:lncRNA from 1 species